rnacentral:tRNA from 1 species
AGGAAUUUAGGCUAAACCAGACCAAGGGCCUUCAAAGCCCUAAGUAAGUGCAACCCACUUAAUUCCUG